rnacentral:lncRNA from 10 species
UUAUUUAAGGAAUGUCCUUCCAGUCUGCAGGCAGAUAGGCUCUCCAAGGAGAUUUUGGCAGGGGUGAAAUGACUGGCAUUUUGACCUGAGCGAAAUUUCUGAAUUUCCGAGCUGUGAUAGGCACUGGAGCUUCUGGCUCUUGGGACUCUAGCAGAACCCCACCUGCUCACCCGCAGGCCUCAGGCCUUCAGAUUAGGACUGAAUUCCACCACUGGCUUUCCGGGUUCUCCAGCUUGCAGAUGGCAGAUGAUGAGACUUCUCAGCCUCCAUAAUCAUGUGAGCCAAUUCCCAUAAUAAAUCUCUCUCUCUCUAUCUCUGUCUUACUCUCUCUUGAUUCUGUUUCUCUGAAGAACCCUAACUAAUACAGAUACCUUCAUUUUACAAAUGAAUAAAGUGCAGUGCCAGAGAAGUUCUGUGAAUUGUCUAGGGUCAUACACUCCUUCAUUUAUUUAAUUGUGCAUUAAGUCAACUAGUAUUCUAGGUACCAAGGAAGUCAACAUACUAGACCACAUUGCCUGUCUUCAAGAAAGUUAUGUUUUGGUUAGA